rnacentral:rRNA from 1 species
GUGGGGAAUAUUGGACAAUGGGCGAAAGCCUGAUCCAGCCAUGUCGCGUGUGUGAAGAAGGCCUUUUGGUUGUAAAGCACUUUAAGCGAGGAGGAGGCUACCGAGAUUAAUACUCUUGGAUAGUGGACGUUACUCGCAGAAUAAGCACCGGCUAACUCUGUGCCAGCAGCCGCGGUAAUACAGAGGGUGCAAGCGUUAAUCGGAUUUACUGGGCGUAAAGCGCGCGUAGGUGGCCAAUUAAGUCAAAUGUGAAAUCCCCGAGCUUAACUUGGGAAUUGCAUUCGAUACUGGUUGGCUAGAGUAUGGGAGAGGAUGGUAGAAUUCCAGGUGUAGCGGUGAAAUGCGUAGAGAUCUGGAGGAAUACCGAUGGCGAAGGCAGCCAUCUGGCCUAAUACUGACACUGAGGUGCGAAAGCAUGGGGAGCAAACAGGAUUAGAAACCCUUGUAGUCC